rnacentral:rRNA from 1 species
CUCUCUGAUUCAGCGGCGGACGGGUGAGUAAUGCCUAGGAAUCUGCCUGGUAGUGGGGGACAACGUCUCGAAAGGGACGCUAAUACCGCAUACGUCCUACGGGAGAAAGCAGGGGACCUUCGGGCCUUGCGCUAUCAGAUGAGCCUAGGUCGGAUUAGCUAGUUGGUGAGGUAAUGGCUCACCAAGGCGACGAUCCGUAACUGGUCUGAGAGGAUGAUCAGUCACACUGGAACUGAGACACGGUCCAGACUCCUACGGGAGGCAGCAGUGGGGAAUAUUGGACAAUGGGCGAAAGCCUGAUCCAGCCAUGCCGCGUGUGUGAAGAAGGUCUUCGGAUUGUAAAGCACUUUAAGUUGGGAGGAAGGGUUGUAGAUUAAUACUCUGCAAUUUUGACGUUACCGACAGAAUAAGCACCGGCUAACUCUGUGCCAGCAGCCGCGGUAAUACAGAGGGUGCAAGCGUUAAUCGGAAUUACUGGGCGUAAAGCGCGCGUAGGUGGUUUGUUAAGUUGGAUGUGAAAGCCCCGGGCUCAACCUGGGAACUGCAUUCAAAACUGACAAGCUAGAGUAUGGUAGAGGGUGGUGGAAUUUCCUGUGUAGCGGUGAAAUGCGUAGAUAUAGGAAGGAACACCAGUGGCGAAGGCGACCACCUGGACUGAUACUGACACUGAG